ACCAACAUGGAGAAACCCCGUCGCUACUAAAAAUACAGAAUUAGCCGGGCGUGGUGGCGCAUUCCUGUAAUUCCAGCUAAUUGGGAGGCUGAGGCAGGAGAAUCGCUUAAACCUGGAAGAUGGAGGUUGCGGUGAGCAUUUGUACAGUGAAACAUUUUGCUACACAAAAGUGAUGUUUAGGAAUACUAACAAAUUAUUUUCAAGGAUCUUACUCUGUCACCCAGGCUGGAAUGCAAUGGCAUGAUCACAGCUCAUUGCAGCCUCAAACUCAUGCCUCCUGAACGGUUGGGA